ACUGCCGUGAAUACGUUCCCGGGCCUUGUACACACCGCCCGCCACACAUGAGAGUUGGAGAUACCCGAAGCCUGUGAGCUAACAAACGAGGCAGCAGUCGAAGGUAGAAUCAAUGAUUGGGGUGAAGUCGUAACAAGGUACC
rnacentral:rRNA from 1 species